rnacentral:rRNA from 1 species
GACGAACGCUGGCGGCGUACCUAAUACAUGCAAGUCGAACGAGAGCGACCGGUGCUUGCACUGGUCAAUCUAGUGGCGAACGGGUGAGUAACACGUGGGUAACCUGCCCAUCAGAGGGGGAUAACAUCCGGAAACGGAUGCUAAAACCGCAUAGGUCUUCGAACCGCAUGGUUUGAAGAGGAAAAGAGGCGCAAGCUUCUGCUGAUGGAUGGACCCGCGGUGCAUUAGCUAGUUGGUGAGGUAACGGCUCACCAAGGCCGUGAUGCAUAGCCGACCUGAGAGGGUGAUCGGCCACAUUGGGACUGAGACACGGCCAAAACUCCUACGGGAGGCAGCAGUAGGGAAUCUUCCGCAAUGGACGCAAGUCUGACGGAGCAACGCCGCGUGAGUGAAGAAGGUGUUCGGAUCGUAAAACUCUGUUGUUAGAGAAGAACAAGUGCUAGAGUAACUGUUAGCGCCUUGACGGUAUCUAACCAGAAAGCCACGGCUAACUACGUG